rnacentral:rRNA from 1 species
AGAGUUUGAUCCUGGCUCAGGAUGAACGCUGGCGGCGUGCCUAAUACAUGCAAGUCGAGCGAACGGACGAGAAGCUUGCUUCUCUGAUGUUAGCGGCGGACGGGUGAGUAACACGUGGAUAACCUACCUAUAAGACUGGGAUAACUUCGGGAAACCGGAGCUAAUACCGGAUAAUAUUUUGAACCGCAUGGUUCAAAAGUGAAAGACGGUCUUGCUGUCACUUAUAGAUGGAUCCGCGCUGCAUUAGCUAGUUGGUAAGGUAACGGCUUACCAAGGCAACGAUGCAUAGCCGACCUGAGAGGGUGAUCGGCCACACUGGAACUGAGACACGGUCCAGACUCCUACGGGAGGCAGCAGUAGGGAAUCUUCCGCAAUGGGCGAAAGCCUGACGGAGCAACGCCGCGUGAGUGAUGAAGGUCUUCGGAUCGUAAAACUCUGUUAUUAGGGAAGAACAUAUGUGUAAGUAACUGUGCACAUCUUGACGGUACCUAAUCAGAAAGCCACGGCUAACUACGUGCCAGCAGCCGCGGUAAUACGUAGGUGGCAAGCGUUAUCCGGAAUUAUUGGGCGUAAAGCGCGCGUAGGCGGUUUUUUAAGUCUGAUGUGAAAGCCCACGGCUCAACCGUGGAGGGUCAUUGGAAACUGGAAAACUUGAGGGCAGAAGAGGAAAGUGGAAUUCCAUGUGUAGCGGUGAAAUGCGCAGAGAUAUGGAGGAACACCAGUGGCGAAGGCGACUUUCUGGUCUGUAACUGACGCUGAUGUGCGAAAGCGUGGGGAUCAAACAGGAUUAGAUACCCUGGUAGUCCACGCCGUAAACGAUGAGUGCUAAGUGUUAGGGGGUUUCCGCCCCUUAGUGCUGCAGCUAACGCAUUAAGCACUCCGCCUGGGGAGUACGACCGCAAGGUUGAAACUCAAAGGAAUUGACGGGGACCCGCACAAGCGGUGGAGCAUGUGGUUUAAUUCGAAGCAACGCGAAGAACCUUACCAAAUCUUGACAUCCUUUGACAACUCUAGAGAUAGAGCCUUCCCCUUCGGGGGACAAAGUGACAGGUGGUGCAUGGUUGUCGUCAGCUCGUGUCGUGAGAUGUUGGGUUAAGUCCCGCAACGAGCGCAACCCUUAAGCUUAGUUGCCAUCAUUAAGUUGGGCACUCUAAGUUGACUGCCGGUGACAAACCGGAGGAAGGUGGGGAUGACGUCAAAUCAUCAUGCCCCUUAUGAUUUGGGCUACACACGUGCUACAAUGGACAAUACAAAGGGCAGCGAAACCGCGAGGUCAAGCAAAUCCCAUAAAGUUGUUCUCAGUUCGGAUUGUAGUCUGCAACUCGACUACAUGAAGCUGGAAUCGCUAGUAAUCGUAGAUCAGCAUGCUACGGUGAAUACGUUCCCGGGUCUUGUACACACCGCCCGUCACACCACGAGAGUUUGUAACACCCGAAGCCGGUGGAGUAACCUUUUAGGAGCUAGCCGUCGAAGGUGGGACAAAUGAUUGGGGUGAAGUCGUAACAAGGUAGCCGUAUCGGAAGGUGCGGCUGGAUCACCU